rnacentral:tRNA from 2 species
GGGUCGUUAGCUCAGUUGGUAGAGCAGGUGACUCUUAAUCACCGGGCCACAGGUUCGAGUCCUGUACGACCCA